GCUGGCUAUACAUUCAAUGCAUGUUUCUACUAUAAAGGGCUGUAGUGGUUAUGGUGCUUGGAAUAGCCUUAAAGUGUCAGUAUGUCAGUAGCCUUAAAGUGUAUGUUGGUUUGGUACAAGGAAAUGCCCUCUGUUAAGGUCAGUGCAAGGGAAUUUAAUGACACAUUUGUUCUAAAUCUGCUGGUGGGGUUGCUUGUGUGUAGAGAAGUGCUUGAG